GACGGAGGAUGCAAGCGUUAUCCGGAAUUAUUGGGCGUAAAGCGUCCGCAGGUGGACAUACAAGUCUGCUGUCAAAGUGCAGAGCUUAACUCUGUAAAGGCGGUGGAAACUGUAGGUCUUGAGUAUGGUAGGGGUAGAGGGAAUUCCCGGUGUAGCGGUGAAAUGCGUAGAUAUCGGGAGGGACACCUGUGGCGAAAGCGGCUCACUGGACCACAACUGACGCUGAGGCGCGAAAGCUAGGGGAGCAAACAGG
rnacentral:rRNA from 1 species